GAAAGGGCUUCUGCCCCGGUAAAGUGGCGCACGGGUGAGUAACACGUACGUAAUCUGCCCCUGAGUGGUGGAUAACCCUCCGAAAGGAGGGCUAAUACUGCAUGAGACCACGGGUUCUUCGGAACCUGCGGCCAAAGUGGGCCUCUUCAUGAAAGCUCAGGCUCUAGGAUGAGCCUGCGGCCCAUCAGCUAUUUGGCGGUGUAACGGACCACCAAGGCUAACACGGGUAGCUGGUCUGACAGGAUGAACAGCCGCACUGUUAACUGAUACACGGUCCAGACUCCUACGGGAGGCAUCAGUGGGGAAUCUUGCACAAUGGGUGAAAGCCUGACUCAUCGACCCCGCGUGAGUGAUGAAGGCCUUCGGGUUGUAAAGCUCUGUGGGGAGAGAUGAAUAAGAGCCGGCUAAUACCCGGCCCGAUGACGGUAUCUCCUUAUCAAGCACCGGCUAACUUUGUGCCAGCAGCCGCGGUAAGACAGAGGGUGCAAACGUUGUUUGGAAUCACUGGGCGUAAAGCGAGUGUAGGCGGUUGCGCAAGUCGGGCGUGAAAUCCCGUGGCUCAUCCACGGAAGUGCACCAGAAUCUGCGUAGCCGGAGUCUCGGUGAGGAAGGCGGAAUGCUUGGUGUAGAGGUGAAAUUUGUAGAUAUCUAGCGGAACACCAGUGGCGAAGGUGGCGUUAUGGACGAUGAUUGACUCUGAGACGUGAAAGCUUGGGGAGCAAACAGGAUUAGAUAUCCUGGUAGUCCACGCUGUAAUCGAUGAGUGUUAUGGUGUCACGGGCUUUGACCCCCGUGGUGCCGUAGCUAACGCAG
rnacentral:rRNA from 1 species